rnacentral:rRNA from 1 species
UGCUUAACACAUGCAAGUCGAACGAAAAGAGGGAAAGAGCUUGCUCUUUCCGGAAUUGAGUGGCAAACGGGUGAGUAACACGUAAACAACCUGCCUUCAGGAUGGGGACAACAGACGGAAACGACUGCUAAUACCGAAUAAGUUCCAAGAGCCGCAUGGCCCAUGGAAGAAAAGGUGGCCUCUACCUGUAAGCUAUCGCCUGAAGAGGGGUUUGCGUCUGAUUAGCUGGUUGGAGGGGUAACGGCCCACCAAGGCGACGAUCAGUAGCCGGUCUGAGAGGAUGAACGGCCACACUGGAACUGAGACACGGUCCAGACUCCUACGGGAGGCAGCAGUGGGGAAUCUUCCGCAAUGGGCGAAAGCCUGACGGAGCAACGCCGCGUGAGUGAUGACGGCCUUCGGGUUGUAAAACUCUGUGAUCCGGGACGAAAAGGCAGAGUGCGAAGAACAAACUGCAUUGACGGUACCGGAAAAGCAAGCCACGGCUAACUACGUGCCAGCAGCCGCGGUAAUACGUAGGUGGCAAGCGUUGUCCGGAAUUAUUGGGCGUAAAGCGCGCGCAGGCGGCUUCCCAAGUCCCUCUUAAAAGUGCGGGGCUUAACCCCGUGAUGGGAAGGAAACUGGGAAGCUGGAGUAUCGGAGAGGAAAGUGGAAUUCCUAGUGUAGCGGUGAAAUGCGUAGAGAUUAGGAAGAACACCGGUGGCGAAGGCGACUUUCUGGACGAAAACUGACGCUGAGGCGCGAAAG